UACGUAGGGGGCAAGCGUUGUCCGGAUUUAUUGGGCGUAAAGAGCGUGUAGGCGGCUUUACAGGUCCGUUGUGAAAACUCGAGGCUCAACCUCGAGACGCCGGUGGAAACCGUAAAGCUAGAGUCCGGAAGAGGAGAGUGGAAUUCCUGGUGUAGCGGUGAAAUGCGCAGAUAUCAGGAGGAACACCGAUGGCGAAGGCAGGUCUCUGGGCCGAUACUGACGCUGAGGAGCGAAAGCGUGGGGAGCGAACAGG
rnacentral:rRNA from 1 species